UUCAGGAGAGAAGGGCAACCCUGGUGAGGAAGGAGUUGAUGGCUUGGAUGGAGAACAGGGUAAUCGCGGAAUCCCAGGGUCAUCUGGAGAAAAAGGAAAUAGGGGAAAUUGGGGCUUGACGGGACCGCCAGGACAACCUGGAGAGCGUGGAGAGCCUGGGUUAAGGGGAGAUCCUGGGGAUCCUGGAACUAAUAGCUAUAUCCAAGGCCCUAAGGGAGAAAAAGGAAGGCGUGGGCGUCAGGGAAGUUCUAAUGUUGAUGGACCUCAGGGAGAAACUGGAAAUGUCGGCCCUUGGGGGACAAUAGGAAGGCGAGGUCUGCCAGGAUUAAAGGGACCAAGAGGAAGGCAAGGACCACCAGGAACUUCUGGACAAAAAGGCUUAGUGGGUGCUCAGGGGAAUCCUGGGCCUCCAGGGCCAAAUGGUUCAAAAGGAAAAGCUGGACCAAGAGGAGUGAAGGGAGAGAUUGGUGAUGUAGGAGAAAGAGGCCCACAGAGUCGACAAGGACCAAGAGGGCAACCUGGUCUUCCUGGUUCUGAUGUAUAUGGACAUCCAGGAAGAAAAGGAACAAAGGGUGAACCUGGAUUCCCUGGCUAUCCUCGUGCACAAGGAGAAGAUGGUGACCCGGGCCAUCAAGGAGAAAAGGGGGCAAAGGGAAUAAGAGGGAAGAGGGGUAAUGCUGGCUUUCCUGGAUUUGUUGGAACUUCGGGUGACCAAGGCCCACCAGGACAAAUGGUAAUAUG
rnacentral:sRNA from 1 species